rnacentral:rRNA from 1 species
AUGUCACUUUAUGAUUUUUGUCGGGUUUGUUUAGUCCCUUUCGAGGGCAAGACAGAGGAACCACAUCGCGAGGAUGUGGAUGGGUUUAUUGAUACUAUCACUGUAGGGGAAACAAGGAAGGUUUCCGAUGCACGAAUCACUAGCAUACAUUUUCCUGUUUUACGAUAUUUUGCAUUAUUUGCUAGUCGUUGUUUAAUUGGUCGCGGAAACUGUGGAAACCUUAGUGGCCCUGAUAUUAUUAUUUUGCUCCAUGGUUUAUACGGUGAUAACUCUGUUAGUAUGGGCGGCAUUAUUGCUAAACGGUUAAGUCUGAACCGUACAAAGGGGCCCAUCUUUGGAGGCAUCUAUGCUUCACGCCUAGCUGCACAUUUUAACAUACCUAUUAGGCAUUAUGAGAAGGAAGAAAAAGUGCUGCCUCAUGUUUAUUUAGAUUAUAAAAGUAUGGUGGCACAUGAUUUUAUUGUUAAGAAUAGGGAAGGAGAGCUUAAAUACAAAUUGUUCUUUGAUAAACAUCAUCCUGAGAUUAUUACCCUGCCUGCUCCUUCUUUGUUUGAUUUAUCUGCAGGCCAGUACCUUGUUCCGUUAAAGGCUAUUCACGCCUACCAGAACCCUUCACCAGCUAUGGAGCCAGAGCCGGAACCACAAGUUGAUCCUUCACGACAAGCUAAUUACCAGUGGGAUCCGGAGAUGAUUGCAAACCAGUGGCAAUCGUAG